GCAAACGUUUUUGAUAACAGUGUGCAGUCAAACCUUUCGAUUUAUUUCACAUCUAUAGCGAUGAUACCUAAUAAUUAUUAGUAAAUCGUAGAGAGAAAUUGGACAAAUCUAUGGCCUAAAAAGUAAUCGAUUGUCUUUAAAUUUUGUCAGCCUAGAUGACAAAUACGAUUAUUAUUGGCAUGAUUUUGAGUGGAAAAUUUGAAAAAUCUACACUUUAUUUUAACGUUGGUUUUUUUCCUGUUGCACAAAAUGUCAGCUUAUGACCUAAGAUUAAAGGAUCUCGAUCAAGUUUUAGAUUCAGACAAAAUUGAUUUGAAUAGACUGAGAGACAUUUGUUUUAAUGGGAUUCCUGAUGAAAAAGGUUAUAGAGCCAUGUGUUGGAGAUUAUUGCUCAACUACUUACCGUUGGACAAAAACAAGUGGGAUGAACACUUAAAUCAUCAUCGCAAUUUGUAUCAACAGUGGCUAGAUGAAAUAUUGGUUACUCCGGGAUCAAUUGACGAUGAACAAAGUGAUCAUCCGUUAAAUGAUGAGCCAAAUAGUAAAUGGAAUACAUUUUUUAAAGAUAACCAAGCUCUCACACAAAUAGACAAAGAUGUCAGACGAUUGCAUCCUGAACUAUCGUUCUUUCAACAAGCAACCGAAUAUCCACAAGUAAAUGUCGUAAAUAGCAAUGGUACUAAACGGCUGAAUAGAAGGGUAGGUAUGCAUUUUCUAAAUAGCGCCAAUGUCGAACGUAAAGGUCUCGGGAUUGUUAAAAUAUCAGCUAGACCCGAACCAAAAAAUACAUCUGAGUUUAAGCCACUUGAAGAAGGUUCUGAAGCUCAUUGGGAAGUUGUGGAAAGAAUUUUGUUUGUGUAUUGUAAGUUGAAUCCUGGACAAGGAUACGUGCAGGGAAUGAAUGAAAUAAUUGGACCGAUUUAUUAUUGUUUUGCAACCGAUCCAAUUGUUAAAAUGAAAAAACACGCCGAAGCCGACUGUUUUUUUGUUUUUACAAAUCUGAUGUCUGAAAUACGAGAUUUCUUUAUAAAAACAUUAGACGAAGCAGACUCUGGUAUUGUUAGUAUGAUGCACAAAGUUACCAAAAAAUUGAAAGAAAAUGACCCAGUUCUUCAUAGUUAUUUAAUAAAUAAUGAAAUUCAUCCCCAAUAUUACAGCUUUAGAUGGUUAACAUUAAUGCUGUCACAAGAGUUUUCUUUGCCAGAAGUGUUAAGGAUAUGGGAUUCUUUAUUUUCUGAUGCUCAACGAUUUUCAUUUUUGAUCCACAUUUGUUGUGCUAUGAUAAUUCUAAUAAAAGAUCAAAUACUUGAAGGAGAUUUUCCUACUAUUGUAAAACUACUGCAGAAUUAUCCUAAUGUUGAGAUGAGUGUUAUACUGAAUAAAGCAGCCGAGUUGAAUAGUCGAUGAAACAAAAUUAAACUAAAGCAAGCUAGCAAACUAAAAUAAUACAUUUUUGUGCACUUCACUUUUUAUGCCUUUUUCUAUAAAUGUUGAGCGGCUUCUUAAAAUGUAUAUGUGUCUUAACCACAAUUCAACACGACAGACUUAAUUUUCAAGCUCUCUAAAAAUGAUCAAAAUUUGUAUUCUUAUAAUCUUAGAAAAAUGUUGCCAUUGUUUAAAAUAUGAUCAAUUAUCUUUUUUUUUUAAAAGCUUUAUUCCUUUAUAGUAUUACCUAUUCUUUCUAUUUUAUACUAUUAUUUAUCUCAUCUUAUACUUAUUUUAAUUUAUAAACAUCAACUUAU